AGGAAGGGGUGACUGGUGACAGUGAGGGGAUGACUGGUGACAGAGUGAGGGAAGGGAUGACUAGUGGCAGAGUGAGGGAAGGAAGGGAUGACUGGUGACAGAGAGAGGAAGGGGGUGACACAGUGAAGGAGGUGGUGACUGUCACUAGUCACCCCAUCCCUCCCUCUGUCACUAAUCACCACCUCCCUCACUCUGUCACUAGUCACCCCUCUCCUCCCUCUCUCUGUCACUAGUCACACCCUGCCUCACUGUCACUAGUCACAUCCUCCCUCACUGUCACUAGUCACCCCCUUCCU